rnacentral:misc_RNA from 1 species
AAAAAUGAAAAAAUAUUUUUUGAAAUUUUCUAAAUAAUAAAAAGUACUUUUAAAUAAUUAAAAAUUUAACCAUUUCAAAAGUUUGAAAACAAAAACUUAAUCAAAAUAGAAAAUAUAAAAAAAAGAACCCUCUCUCCAUCCAGAAAUCAAAACUGAAAUUGGGUUAGGGCUACAUUCUGUUCUCAUCAAGUUGAGAGUUGGGUUUUUGGAGAUGACAAUGAGAUUGAGGAGUGUGGAGAGGUUGGAGGAGAAGUCAAUGGAGAUGGUGAGGUUGGAUAUGGAAAGGUGGGAUGGAGAGGGCAGGUUGGUGGUGGCAGGUACAGGAUUUAAAGAGAAACUCCAGCAAAUAUGGCAAGGAGGACCAACAGGAAGAUGAGGAUGCUUUAACAGCAGCAGCAAAUGCUCAGGUUGCUGGGGGUAUGACCCUUGAUCAACUCUUCUAAUCCUUUGCCUGCAAUAUUUUCAUUUGCAAAGAACUCACUUGCCACCAUUAUGGUGUCUCAUCCCAACUUGACUUUCAGAUAAAAGUGGAGAUUGAAAUAGCCUAAAAUCUUGCUGUUGGAGAUGAUGCUGAUGCUGAAAUAAUUGAUGGGUGAUGGGAAUGGAAUGUUGCUGUCAUUGUUAGAAUAUAUUUUAUUGUUUUUGUUGCUGUGGGUGGGUUGAUAGGGCAUGGUCUAGAUUUUGAUAUGGUUUAGAGUGGGUAA